GUGUAUAUACGUAUAUACACAUAUGUGUGUAUAUACGUAUAUACACAUAUGUGUGUAUAUACGUAUAUACACA
rnacentral:pre_miRNA from 13 species